rnacentral:rRNA from 1 species
AGAGUUUGAUCCUGGCUCAGCCUGAACGCUGGCGGCGUGGCUAAGACAUGCAAGUCGUACGGAGGUAGCAAUACCUCAGUGGCGGACGGGUGAGUAAUGUAUCGCUAACGUGCCCCGGACUCGGGGAUAGCCAUCCGAAAGGGUGGGUAAUACCCGAUGACAUUCCCGGCAGGCAUCUGCCGGGACUCAAAGGAGUAAUCCGGACUGGGAGCGGGCGGUAUCGUAUCAGCUAGUUGGUGAGGUAACGGCUCACCAAGGCGACGACGCGUAGCCGGACUGAGAGGUUGGCCGGCCACAUUGGGACUGAGACACUGCCCAGACUCCUACGGGGGGCUGCAGUAACGAAUCUUCCGCAAUGCACGAAAGUGUGACGGAGCGACGCCGCGUGUGGGACGAAGUCCUUCGGGAUGUAAACCACUGUCAGGGGUUACCAAGUUCUGAGGAGCCCCAGAGGAAGGCACGGCUAACUCUGUGCCAGCAGCCGCGGUAAUUC